CAGCAGCCGCGGGAAAACCAGCACCUCGAGUGGUCAGGAGGUUUAUUGGGCCUAAAGCAUCCGUAGCCGGUUGCAUAAGUUUUCGGUUAAAUCUAUGCGCUUAACGUAUAGGCCGCCGAAAAUACUGUGCAGCUAGGGAGUGGGAGAGGUACACGGUACUCGAUAGGAAGGGGUAAAAUCCUUUGAUCUAUUGAUGACCACCUGUGGCGAAGGCGGUGUACCAGAACACGUUCGACGGUGAGGGAUGAAAGCUGGGGGAGCAAACCGGAUUAGAUACCCCGGUAGUCCCUGUCUCUUAUAC
rnacentral:rRNA from 1 species